AGGACCUGGGUCUGUUUUCACGAUGGAGCAGAUCUCGAGUAUCCCAGCAGUCUGUCUCCUUCGUCGAGACAAUGAAUUUAAAGUUCUUAAGAUUUGGCUAAAAGGUUUUUAGAAGCGAGAUGGUGAGCUCUUCCCUAUUUCCGAGUGGUGCUGCCAAUAAGUGAGAUGUACGUUUUGUUCCUUGGAUAUGCCUGUUCAAAUGUUCAUCCUGUCGUGGUCGUGGCACAUACUUCGGAAGCAAUUCAGUUCGCUCUAGCCUUACCGAUGGCAUUGUUUAUGUCAUUAUUGACUGGCGCCAAAGUGUCUGGAGCGAGCUCAACAAAGAAGUUACUUCAAAAUUUUCUAGAAAUGUUGUCUCCCUUGCAUUGUCUGAUGCUGACAUUGUUGUCCUACUCUAGCAUUCUUAGUUUUCAUUAUUUAAUUUAAUUUAAUUUAAUUUUAUUUUAUUUUAGUUUAAAGUUGUGCUGGUUAUAGAUGAUUCAAAGUAUUGUGCUGUCCUACUCUAUUUUGCCUCCAAUAGUUCCU